AUCCGGAAAGUUCCCCUGUAGGAUCUCUGAUGGUUUUCCAAAUCUCAGAAUCCUCGGAUUAAGGUCAACUUCACUUUCCGGAGAACUUCCUUCAGGAAUGUCAAAUCUGAGUUCAUUGCAGGUCCUGAUCUUGCAGAAAACAACUUAACUGGCACCAUUCCAACAAGCAUAGGAGACCUGAAGGCCAUGGUACAAGAGCAAAAGGUGAAUGAAUAGCUGUUAUAUUGGAAGUAUAGAGGGAUUCACUACGAAGAAAGCUUGAGAGUGAAUUUGAAAAACCAGUUCCAAAAGUACACCAAGACACUAUCACUUCUUACCUCAGUAGACUUGUCUAGAAACAACCUCAAUGGAGCAUUUCCUGUGGAAUUGACAAAGUAUAUGGCCUCAUAGUUUUGAACUUGUCUGGAGACCAAAUCAGUGUACAAGUCCCAGAAAACAUUUCAAGCUUACAUCAGUUGGCAUCGCUUGAUCUCUCGAGUAAUAUGCUUUCUGGUGUCAUCCCAUCAAGCAUGGAAUCAAUGUCACUCUUGAGCUAUCUUCUCAAAUAACAAUUUAUCCGGUAUGGUUCCUUAUAAGGGUCAGAUGACAACUAUGACUGUUAUGUCCCGUAUUUUUAUACAUUGGACAACCCGGAUUAACUAUAAUAAUUCAAGGUCAAGACCAUUUCGGGAAUUGAAGUCGGGACUUUUGACCUUUGAUUUUAUUUUGAGACAUAAGUUAUAUAUGAAAUUGUUGGUAUUGAACACUUAGGGAAAAUUGGGACCACAAUUCAUAAAUUUGGGAUUAAUUUACCGUGGUUAGAUUAGUAAGUGGGAUUAAAAUUUAACCACUUCAUUAAAUAAUUAAGCCUAAAGGGCCAUGUGGGCCCCACCCGAAUAAAUAUAAAAAAAAAAAAAAGUACCAAAAAUCUGAAAAGUAACAAAACAUAGUGCAAAGGUGAGUCACAAAGAAGGGUGUACGUGUAACAUAUAGGGAAUAGGGCAUAGUGCAAAUGACAUCUUUUAAGUCAUUUGUUAAAAAAAAAAGAGCUUUCAAGAACUAGUAAACACAUCCAUGGCUGUGCACGGCCAGGUUGAAGAUUAAAAAAAAAAAAAAUCAGUUUGUUGCUAAUAAAAAUUCUAAGGAGAAGACAAGGAGAAGGAGGUGGAGAAGCAAGAAUAAGUAUAGGAAUUUAAGACACAAAUUGGAGCCAAGUAUUCAAGACCUUGGGGAGCCCGAGGUGUAGGUUGGGAUUAGCUUGAGUUUGGGCUAGCUUGGAGUGUGUACGAGGUACAGACGCACAGUUUGGUGAUCCACCAGUUUAGGAUACCUUCUUCUGCUGUUUGGAGUGCUCCUCUUAUUCCGGAGCCUACAUUUUGGUAUAUAUUCGGUCUUUGCAUAUGUAUAUAUUUGUUCAGGGGUACGGCGGGGCCCUGUCCCGCCAUAUGAUACGGUUGGUCUGUUUAGAGGUUUGUAGACGUACAUGUGGGUUGUGCCUACUUCUGUUCAGAUGUGUUUGUAUGAUCCUACUCGUUAUGGCAGCCUUGUCGGCGUGCAUUUUGUAUAUGUUUUGGGGCCGUUGUGCCAUUUGAUAGCCUUGUCGGCUUUUGAUAUAUGUAUACGCAUCUGGUUGUGCUGAAAUGUGGGCGAUGUAUAUUCCGCCAACUCUUUUGGUUU